rnacentral:rRNA from 1 species
AUGCAGUUGAACGGGAACAUACGAUAGCUUGCUAUAGUAUGUGAGAGUGGCGCACGGGUGAGUAAUACAUGGGAACAUACCUUAAAGUGGGGGAUAACUUCUGGAAACGGAUGCUAAUACCGCAUACACCCUGAGGGGGAAAGAUUUAUCGCUUUAAGAUUGGCCCAUGGCAGAUUAGGUAGUUGGUGGGGUAAAGGCCUACCAAGCCGACGAUCUGUAGCUGGUCUGAGAGGACGAUCAGCCACAUUGGGACUGAGACACGGCCCAGACUCCUACGGGAGGCAGCAGUGAGGAAUAUUGGGCAAUGGGGGCAACCCUGACCCAGCCAUGCCGCGUGAGUGAAGAAGGUUUUCGAAUUGUAAAGCUCUUUCGGAUGUGACGAUGAUGACGGUAGCAUCUAAAGAAGCCCCGGCAAACUUCGUGCCAGCAGCCGCGGUAAUACGAAGGGGGCGAGCGUUGUUCGGAAUUACUGGGCGUAAAGGGUGUGUAGGUGGACGUGUAAGAUAGCGGUGAAAUGCCGGAGCUCAACUUCGGAAUUGCCAUUAUAACUAUGCGUCUAGAAUUAUAGAGAGGAUAGCGGAAUACCCAGUGUAGAGGUGAAAUUCGUAGAUAUUGGGUAGAACACCAGUGGCGAAGGCGGCUAUCUGGCUAUAUAUUGACACUGAGGCACGAAAGCAUGGGGAUCAAACAGGAUUAGAUACCCUGGUAGUCCAUGCCGUAAACGAUGAAUGCUGGUUGUCGGACGAAUGUUCGGUGACGAAGUUAACGCGAUAAGCAUUCCGCCUGGGGAGUACGGCCGCAAGGUUAAAACUCAAAGGAAUUGACGGGGACCCGCA